GGAGUUGCUCUAAUAAACUGACUCUUAAUUUUUAACUAAAAAAGUUAAGAGCCAGCUCUUAAAUAAGAUGUUUAAGAGUUGGUUCUUAACUUUUUUAGUUAAAAGUUAAUAGACGGUUUCUUAUAUUCC
rfam:Brassica oleracea var. oleracea cultivar TO1000 chromosome C3, whole genome shotgun sequence